GACGAACGCUGGCGGCGUGCUUAACACAUGCAAGUCGAACGGAAAGGCCCUGCUUUUGUGGGGUGCUCGAGUGGCGAACGGGUGAGUAACACGUGAGUAACCUGCCCUUGACUUUGGGAUAACUUCAGGAAACUGGGGCUAAUACCGGAUAGGAGCUCCUGCUGCAUGGUGGGGGUUGGAAAGUUUCGGCGGUUGGGGAUGGACUCGCGGCUUAUCAGCUUGUUGGUGGGGUAGUGGCUUACCAAGCCUUUGACGGGUAGCCCGCCUGGGAGGGUAGCCGGCCACAUUGGGACUGCGAGACGGCCCAGACGCCAACGGGAGGCAGCAGGGGGGAAUAUUGCAGAAUGGGCGGAAGCCUGAUGCAGCAACGCCGCGUGCGGGAUGACGGCCUUCGGGUUGUAAACCGCUUUCGCCGGUGACGAAGCGUGAGUGACGGUAAUGGGUAAAGAAGCAACGGCUAACUACGUG
rnacentral:rRNA from 1 species